rnacentral:rRNA from 1 species
UGGGGAAUAUUGCACAAUGGGGGAAACCCUGAUGCAGCAACGCCGCGUGGAGGAAGAAGCACUUAGGUGUGUAAACUCCUUUUAUAGCCGAAGAAGAUGACGGUAGGCUAUGAAUAAGCACCGGCUAACUCCGUGCCAGCAGCCGCGGUAAUA